AGUGAACGCUGGCGGUAGGCCUAACACAUGCAAGUCGAACGGCAGCACAGUAAGAGCUUGCUCUUACGGGUGGCGAGUGGCGGACGGGUGAGGAAUACAUCGGAAUCUACUUUUUCGUGGGGGGUAACGUAGGGAAACUUACGCUAAUACCGCAUACGACCUACGGGUGAAAGCAGGGGAUCUUCGGACCUUGCGCGAUUGAAUGAGCCGAUGUCGGAUUAGCUAGUUGGCGGGGUAAAGGCCCACCAAGGCGACGAUCCGUAGCUGGUCUGAGAGGAUGAUCAGCCACACUGGAACUGAGACACGGUCCAGACUCCUACGGGAGGCAGCAGUGGGGAAUAUUGGACAAUGGGCGCAAGCCUGAUCCAGCCAUACCGCGUGGGUGAAGAAGGCCUUCGGGUUGUAAAGCCCUUUUGUUGGGAAAGAAAAGCAGCAGGUUAAUACCCCGCUGUUCUGACGGUACCCAAAGAAUAAGCACCGGCUAACUUCGUGC
rnacentral:rRNA from 1 species